GGGGGGGGGGGGGGGGGGGGGGGGGGGGGGCGGGGCGGGGGGGGGGGGCGGGCGUGGGGGGGGGGGUCGGGGGGGGGACGGGUGGGUGAGACGUGAGGAACGUGCCCGUGAGGGUGGGAGAACGCCAGGCAACUGGGGCGAAUACCGGAGAGGAGGGCCGGCUGCGUGGGGGGGGUGGGCAAGUUUCGGGGGGUGGGGAUGGACUCGCGGCUUCUCCGGUUGUUGGGGGGGUAGUGGCUUACCAAGGCUUGGACGGGUCGCCGGCCUGAGAGGGUGACCGGCCACAUUGGGACUGAGAUACGGCCCAGACUCCUACGGGAGGCAGCAGUGGGGAAUAUUGCACAAUGGGCGGAAGCCUGAUGCAGCAACGCCGCGUGCGGGAUGACGGCCUUCGGGUUGUAAACCGCUUUCGCCUGUGACGAAGCGUGAGUGACGGUAAUGGGUAAAGAAGCACCGGCUAACUACGUG
rnacentral:rRNA from 1 species